AAAAAAAAAAAAAAAAAAAAAAAAAAAAAAAAAAAAAAAAAAAAAGGACAUUAUUAAAGCUCAUAUUUUUUUUUGAAAUUUUCGAGUUUUAUUAUUCAAUUUUUGAUUCUCUAAAUUUAAAAGUUUUAUGAAUA
rnacentral:ribozyme from 1 species